rnacentral:rRNA from 1 species
UACGGAGGGAGCUAGCGUUGUUCGGAAUUACUGGGCGUAAAGCGCACGUAGGCGGCUUUGUAAGUUAGAGGUGAAAGCCCGGGGCUCAACCCUGGAAUGCCGGUGGAUACUGUCGGGCUCGAGUCCGGAAGAGGCGAGUGGAAUUCCUGGUGUAGCGGUGAAAUGCGCAGAUAUCAGGAGGAACACCGAUGGCGAAGGCAGCUCGCUGGGACGGUACUGACGCUGAGACGCGAAAGCGUGGGGAGCAAACAGG